rnacentral:rRNA from 2 species
UACGGGAGGCAGCAGUAGGGAAUCUUCCGCAAUGGACGAAAGUCUGACGGAGCAACGCCGCGUGAGUGAUGAAGGGUUUCGGCUCGUAAAGCUCUGUUGUUAGGGAAGAACAAGUAUCGUUCGAAUAGGGCGGUACCUUGACGGUACCUAACCAGAAAGCCACGGCUAACUACGUGCCAGCAGCCGCGGUAAUACGUAGGUGGCAAGCGUUGUCCGGAAUUAUUGGGCGUAAAGCGCGCGCAGGCGGUCUUUUAAGUCUGAUGUGAAAGCCCCCGGCUCAACCGGGGAGGGUCAUUGGAAACUGGGAGACUUGAGUACAGAAGAGGAGAGUGGAAUUCCACGUGUAGCGGUGAAAUGCGUAGAUAUGUGGAGGAACACCAGUGGCGAAGGCGACUCUCUGGUCUGUAACUGACGCUGAGGCGCGAAAGCGUGGGGAGCAAACAGGAUUAGAUACCCUGGUAGUCCACGCCGUAAACGAUGAGUGCUAGGUGUUAGGGGUUUCGAUGCCCUUAGUGCCGAAG